UACGGAGGGAGCUAGCGUUGUUCGGAAUUACUGGGCGUAAAGCGCACGUAGGCGGCUUUGUAAGUUAGAGGUGAAAGCCCGGGGCUCAACUCCGGAACUGCCUUUAAGACUGCAUCGCUUGAAUCCAGGAGAGGUGAGUGGAAUUCCGGGUGUAGAGGUGAAAUUCGUAGAUAUUCGGAAGAACACCAGUGGCGAAGGCGGCUCACUGGGCUGGUAUUGACGCUGAGGUGCGAAAGCGUGGGGAGCAAACAGG
rnacentral:rRNA from 1 species